GAGUAAUGAUGUUUAAACCUAUUCCAUUGCUGAAAUAUGCUGUAGAAAAAAAAAUGCUGAACUC
rnacentral:snoRNA from 1 species